UACGUAGGGGGCAAGCGUUGUCCGGAAUCAUUGGGCGUAAAGCGCGCGUAGGCGGCCCUGUAAGUCCGUUGUGAAAGUCGAAGGCUCAACCUUCGAAAGCCGAUGGAUACUGCAGGGCUAGAGUCCGGAAGAGGCGAGUGGAAUUCCUGGUGUAGCGGUGGAAUGCGCAGAUAUCAGGAGGAACACCAAUAGCGAAGGCAGCUCGCUGGGACGGUACUGACG
rnacentral:rRNA from 1 species